ACUGCAAUGUUCUGCAUGUAAGACUAUUAUAAUUAAAGCCUUGGGCAACAAAUGACCCCUGAAUUAUUAACCAUCAUCAACUCUCACUCUCCAACAGAUCCAGAGGUGUUACAAGGAUCGAGCAGUGGCUUCACUACUGAAAAAUAUAGCCACUGCGGUCAUCUUCAUUGCGAAAAUACUCUCCAGACAGCAGAAGUGUGGGCGGCAGAGAUAGCAGGGAGCUGACUGCUGCACUGCUGCCGCUGCUGCUGCACAAUUCUUCACCCAUGGCUUCACACAGAUCAAAUUUAACAUGAUUUUCAUAUUGUCUGAUUUCUAUCUCUUUGAGGAGUGGAACGAAUACACGUCGACACAAGCCAGUUCAUCUGUUUGAACGAUCUACGGCGGCUGCCUAGAACAUAUUGCUCAAUGCAUGCUAAAACUGGCUUCGAGAUUAUGAUUAAAAUCCAAUAUUGUGCAUGUUUCCCAUGUUAAAUUUGCAGAAUAACAAUUUUAGAUCUUGAAUUGGCAGCAGAUAAUACAAAUGCAGCCUGUGGGGAAAUAGAGCCAUUUGCUCAGGAAUAGUGCAGGCAGCUCCAGGGUAUGGAACAAAUAUGUGUUUGAAGCUUUUAUAUUUCUGCGCAUGGGUUUGAACAGUAGUGUUACGGGCUAUGAGGAUGCACCGGAGUUCAAACCUUCAAGGUGAAAGCGGGUUUCCGCUCCAAAGUAAAGGCAAAACUGUUCAAACCUAGCAAGGAGGC
ensembl:lncRNA